GACGAACGCUGGCGGCGUGCCUAACGCAUGCAAGUCAAACGGAACUGUUUUGAAAUAUUUCUUCGGAAUGAAUUUGAUUUAUUUUAGUGGCGGACGGGUGAUUAACGCGUGAUUAACCUGCCUUCUAGAGGGGGAUAACAUUCUGAAAAGAAUGCUAAUACCGCAUGAUAUAUCGGAACCGCAUGGUUUUGAUAUCAAAGAUUUUAUCGCUUGAAGAUGGACUCGCGUCCGAUUAGUUAGUUGGUGAGGUAACGGCUCACCAAGACCGCGAUCGGUAGCCGGACUGAAAGGUUGAACGGCCACAUUGGGACUGAGACACGGCCCAGACUCCUACGGGAGGCAGCAGUGGGGGAUAUUGCGCAAUGGGGGCAACCCUGACGCAGCAACGCCGCGUGAAGGAUGAAGGUUUUUCGGAUUGUAAACUUCUUUUAUUAAGGACGAAAAAUGACGGUACUUAAUGAAUAAGCUCCGGCUAACUACGUGCCAGCAGCCGCGGUAAUACGUAGGGAGCAAGCGUUGUCCGGAUUUACUGGGUGUAAAGGGUGCGUAGGCGGCUUUGCAAGUCAGAUGUGAAAUCUAUGGGCUCAACCCAUAAACUGCAUUUGAAACUGUAGAGUUUGAGUGAUGUAGAGGCAGGCGGAAUUCCCCGUGUAGCGGUGAAAUGCGUAGAGAUGGGGAGGAACACCAGUGGCGAAGGCGGCCUGCUGGGCUUUAACUGACGCUGAGGCCCGAAAGCGUGGGUAGCAAACA
rnacentral:rRNA from 1 species